UGGGAUGAGCUUGCGUCCGAUUAGCUAGUUGGCGGGGCAACAGCCCACCAAGGCGACGAUCGGUAGCCGGCCUGAGAGGGUGAUCGGCCACAUUGGGACUGAGAUACGGCCCAGACUCCUACGGGAGGCAGCAGUAGGGAAUAUUGCACAAUGGGGGGAACCCUGAUGCAGCAACGCCACGCGUGGGAAGAAGCAUUUCGGUGUGUAAACCACUGUCGUGAGGGAAUAAUACGCGGUUUCGGCCGCGGGGGAAUGUACCUCGAAAGGAAGCACCGGCAAACUUCGUGCCAGCAGCCGCGGUAAUACGAGGGGUGCAAGCGUUGUUCGGAAUCACUGGGCGUAAAGGGAGCGUAGGCGGAGGAGCAAGCAAUCUGUACAAUACCGGGGCCCAACCCCGGACCUGCAGAUUGGACUGCUUCUCUUGGAUAGUUCAGGGGCAGGC
rnacentral:rRNA from 1 species